CCUACGGGAGGCAGCAGUGGGGGAUAUUGCACAAUGGGGGGAACCCUGAUGCAGCGACGCCGCGUGGGUGAAGGAGUGCUUCGGCAUGUAAAGCCCUAUCGGCAGGGAAGAAGCAAGACGGUACCUGACUAAGACGCCCCGGCUAACUACGUGCCAGCAGCCGCGGUAAUACGUAGGGGGCGAGCGUUAUCCGGAUUCACUGGGGGUAAAGGGAGCGUAGACGGCCAUGCAAGCCAGGUGUGAAAGCCCGGGGCCCAACCCCGGGACUGCCCUUGGAACUGUGCGGCUAGAGUGCGGGAGGGGCAAGUGGAAUUCCAGGUGUAGCGGUGAAAUGCGUAGAUAUCAGGAGGAACACCAGCGGCGAAGGCGGCCUGCUGGACCGCGACUGACGUUGAGGCUCGAAAGCGUGGGGAGCGAACAGGAUUAGAUACCCGGGUAGUC
rnacentral:rRNA from 1 species